rnacentral:snRNA from 1 species
GCGCGAAGCUACCGUGCG